rnacentral:rRNA from 1 species
AAUUCGACGCAACGCGAAGAACCUUACCAGGCUUGACAUCCUCUGACAACCCAAGAGAUUGGGCGUUCUGCCUUCGGGUAGACAGAGAGACAGGUGGUGCAUGGUUGUCGUCAGCUCGUGUCGUGAGAUGUUGGGUUAAGUCCCGCAACGAGCGCAACCCUUGUCUUUAAUUGCCAUCAUUGAGUUGGGCACUUUAAAGAGACUGCCGGUGUUAAACCGGAGGAAGGUGGGGAUGACGUCAAGUCCUCAUGGCCUUUAUGCCCAGGGCUACACACGUGCUACAAUGGGUGGUACAAAGAGAAGCAACCUCGCGAGGGUGAGCAAAUCUCAAAAAGCCGUUCUCAGUUCGGAUUGAAGUCUGCAACUCGACUUCAUGAAGUCGGAAUCGCUAGUAAUCGCGGAUCAGCAUGCCGCGGUGAAUACGUUCCCGGGCCUU